CCUACGGGAGGCAGCAGUGAGGAAUAUUGGUCAAUGGACGGAAGUCUGAACCAGCCAUGCCGCGUGCAGGAAGACGGCUCUAUGAGUUGUAAACUGCUUUUGUACAAGGGUAAACCUGAAUACGUGUAUUCAGCUGAAAGUACUGUACGAAUAAGGAUCGGCUAACUCCGUGCCAGCAGCCGCGGUAAUACGGAGGAUCCAAGCGUUAUCCGGAUUUAUUGGGUUUAAAGGGUGCGUAGGCGGUCCGGAAAGUCAGCGGUAAAAGCCCGGGGCUCAACCCCGGCGAGCCGUUGAAACUGUCGGACUAGAGAUGGCGAGAAGUACGCGGAAUGCGCGGUGUAGCGGUGAAAUGCAUAGAUAUCACGAAGAACUCCGAUUGCGAAGGCAGCUUACUAAACUGCCACUGACAUUGAUGCUCGAAAGUGUGGGUAUCAAACAGGAUUAGAUACCCCUGUAGUC
rnacentral:rRNA from 1 species